GCCAGGGCCUUGCGUGCACACAUUGUCAGCGCGCUGGCUGAUGCUGUGUGUGACAUCAGGUCCCUCCCAGUUCAUGCUGGGCAGAAGACGCGGUCCGUCUCUUGCAGACUCCAUCAGCCAGCAGCGCAGACAGCAGGAAUU